AAAUAUGUAAAGAAAACUAGGAGUGAAAAAAAUAAGUUUCAUUACCACUGGAGUUGGAAAAUCAUUUGAUAAGAUAAAAAACCAUCCCAACGUCUAAACACUGAGCUUCAGCCCCAUCCUACCCUUUCGGGCUUUGAUUAUUGUAGUAUUUUUCUUGGAAAACUUGCUCAAAAAACCAUGGCCUUCCCUAAAAGAUUAUAUUACAGUAAAUUUGGGAAAUAUCCUGCUACUUUGAAAUUAGAAAACCAUAGGUAGAGAGAAAAAAACAUAUCAAAUUUCUAGCUCCACUGCCAUUAAAACAAAUAAGAGCUUACUAACCACUUUAAUGGCAAUGCCUUUUUUAAGUAUAGAAAAAAAAUAUAUAUAUCUGAAUAAAUUAAGUCAUUCACCCUUCAUUCACCCCUCUAGUUCCAUUCACCGCCAAAUAAUUUCAUUCACCCUUGGGUGAACCAUUCACCAGUUUAAGAAGCACUGCUCUUAGUUCUUAGUUCCAGAUCAAGAACAUCUUAGUUCCCCAGAAUGUCAUUGCAAAAGUUACUACUUGGCACAAAUGCUAGUGUAAGCGUUCACAAAGGAAGGUGCAUUGAACAGUGCUGGACUGAUUCUAUAAUAGCCAUAUAAGCACAAUUCAAAAAUAAUAUUUUCUCUUCACCAUUGCCUAGAAGGUAGAAAGGGGCUUCUAACAUUCCAACAAAUGAGAACUGAAGAAUCUGAAGUCACAGCUGUUUUUUUGCAAUAUAUUUUUACAGGGACAUGGGAACACUUCCAUCGAUGUGAUGCAAUAUCUUUCUGUCAAGAAAAUUACAUGGAAAUUGCACAUCUAUGUGAGAGUUCACACACUUUGAUUGCUGGAAUUCUAAAGAUUUGAGUAGCUUUACUUCAAUUUCCAUUGGGAAAUUGACCCAUUAUUAUUUUGGUCUCUUCUUGAUAAGCGUGUAAAAAUGAAUUAUUGCUUCCCGCAUACAUUCUCACUGACACUAAUUCUCCUCAGAUAAAAUUAUCUCAGUUAAUCUAAGGUUCUGAGAAUGCAAGCAACCACCAAUCUGCUGUGUAAGGAGUUAAGACAGAGGCAUACAUGGUUGGAGCUCAUGCCAAAUCUUGCUUCAUUAUGCUCAUCCUCAAUAUCAUCAUUCUUCAUGUCACUGCUUACAUCAUAGUGGAUGAUGAUAAUUUAUCUUUACCCAUUUGUCCUUUUUCUAGUCCCUGUGAGGGAUCCACCAGAAAAAAACUGCUAUCUCAUCAUUCGAGCUAAAGACAGAAAUAAAAGGCUUCAUGCAAGUUCUCAAAGCUCAAAGCUUUGACAUUAAAGAAAUGCCGCUUUAACUAUGAAAAUCUGCGACCAUAAAUGAAUGCUUGUUCUACAAAUCUUCUGCAUCUAAAGCAGAGUACGUCAAUAAGAGCUCCAGGGUCUCCUCCUCAUUAAAGGUUCUAAAGAAGGCAUCCAUCUGUCGCACCAACCAACCAUGUACUCAGGAACUCUGCGAACCAGCUAGCAGGAGUAUUCACAGACAUCUUUAACCUCUCCUUGCUCCAUUCAAAGGAUUCCACCUGGUUUAAGAAGACCAUUAUCAUUCAGGGGCCAAAGAAAAGCAAAGAAGUGUGUGUUAAUGACCACCGUCCAGUGGCUCUGGUGUCCACCGUGAUGCGCUUCAAGAGGAUGGUCAUGGUGCACAUUGACUCCAACCUCCGUGACAAUUUGAUCGACUGCAGUUGUUUUUUGUCGCUAUAGGUCCACGGUUAACGCCAGCACCCUCGCCAUACACUCAUUGCUGAAUAAGGACAGCUUCGUCAGACUCCUAUUUAAUUGUUUAUUAAUAAAUCAGUUUAGUCCGAGCCAGGUUUAAUAGCCUGAUGGCUGUGGGGAAGUAGCUAUUCCUGAACCUGGUUGUUGCAGUCUUCAGGCUCCUGUACCUUCUACCUGAAGGUAGCAGGGAGAUGAAUGUAUUAUAGCUUGGUUUAGCAAUAGCUCUCCUCAAGAUAUAGGAGAGAUAAUUGCAGAGAGUUGUAGAUGUAGCCCAAUUACAUCACACAAACAAGCCUCAUCCGCACCACUACCCCAUGUGCUCCAACAGACUCCAUCUACACCAUGCUGCCUCAGGAAAGCAGUCAACAUAAUCAAGGACUAUUCCCCUUUUCUCCCCUCUCCCAUUGGCUGGAUAAUCUUCUUUUGUGUCCGGAGCCUGCGGACUACUCACCAUCACGGAGCUGGCCGCGUUCGGAGUUUGGAGAGCUGUGGUGGCGCGCUGCUGCGGCCCGACCCCGGAGAUUCGGAGGCUCCAACCGCAGGUCUGGUGGACAGUAACACCAGGAGCCCGUGGGUGCCUGGUGGGAGACCGUUUUUCGGGGCUUCCGCAAUGGCGACUUCUCCCGCCCGGGUUGCGGGGUUGAAAAGUACCUGGAGCAGGGCUUUACAUCGCCCGGCACGGCUUUAAAUGGCCGUGGGACUUGCUAGCGCCCGCUGGGGGCUCCAACAUCAAGACCCGGAGGGCGGCCUUGGAGCGUGGCCUUGCAUCACCCGGCGCGAUUUUAAUGGCCGCGGGAUUUGCUUACCAUCGCCCGCCGGGGGCUUUGACUCUGACAUUGGGAGGAGAAUGAGGAGUGCAGGGGAGAGAUAAGACUUUGCCUUCCAUCACAGCGAGGAGGAGAUUCACUGUGAUGGAUGUUUGUGUAAAUUGUGUUGUCUUGGUUCUUUUUCUUGUGUGUAUGACUGCAGAAACCAAAUUUCGUUUGAACCUCAAUGAGGUUCAAAUGACAACAAAUAAAUUGUAUUGUAUUGUAAUUUCUAUGUUCCAAAUGUUGACAUCGCUGUCAUCGCCCGUCCUGAAAAGAGCGCAAGCUUCCGGCGACAAUCAUUUGCUGCAAUAGAUGAUGAUGGUAGCAGAAUUAGCUCGGGAUACAUCCAGUUUCCAGCCCCAUGACAUGGACACUUCUGCUAUGGGGCCGGGCAGAUAAUACAAAAGCUUGAAAACACAUACCACCAGAAUCUAGAACAGCUCCUUUCCCACUGAUAUCAGACUACUGAAUAGUCCUCCCAUAAUCUGGGAUAUAGACCCAAUCUUCCAACCUACCUCAUCAAGGACCUUUCACUUUUCUCUGCACUUUCUCUGUAAAUGUAACGCUAUAAUGCUGUAACUUAUACUCUGGUAUUUUUCUCUUUGCACUAUCAGUUGUACUUGCAUAUCGCCUGAUUGUACUCAUGUAUAGUAUGAUAUGACUGGAUAGCAAGGUUUUCACUGUAUCUUGAUACACGUGACAAUAAUAAACCAAUAACCCUGUCAAGAUCACUGCUAGUCCCUAGAGUCAAGAGACAGUAUGAAUUACCUGUAGGGUCGCAGCACCAUCAUAACAGGCAAAUCCAGGAACAGGACUGGGAUAUUACAGAUGCUUAAAAAAAAUGAUUUACCACAUAUCAAUCUGGCUAUGUGGUUUCUGGACAUAGCAGAUACAUCCCCAUGGAACAUGCAGACGUUUUGU